rnacentral:rRNA from 1 species
GUACACAGCUAUACCACCCUGCAUGUACUCGAUCUGCUCUGAUCUCAGAGGCUAAGGAGGGUUGGGCCUGUUUAGUACUUGGGUGGGAGAUAUUUUGGUAAAUUAUAGUUUCGAGAACC